UUGCCCUUCAGCUUCUUCUUGGUUCUAUGUUUUUAUCCCCCUUUGCACAGCGAAAGGACAACUUUGCCCUCAGUGGCCAUGCAUUCUUCAUCGAUGGCCUUUUCUGUUCGAUUUAUCCGCUUUUCAUUUUGCUUCUCUCUCUCACGCCAUUUCCUGCAAUCGGUUUUUUCUUUUUCUGCCCCACGUCUACACGUGUUGGUCAUCACGAAUUGGAAAGCAGUGGAAAGGCGAGGAAAGCAAUGGAAAAGCCCAUUUGCUUCCAUUCCAUGUUCUCAGAAGGGGCAUUCUAUCCCAUAGCCGUUCUUGAGUUCUCUCGAUGGCGUAUUCUCUCUCACUCUCUUGCUAAAAAUGACGGAACCGGUGCAGAUCUUUUUUUCUGCAAAAAUGGAAACGAUGGCAUGUUCUUCCCUUAUUCUCUAGCUUCCUUCCUCAUCCUCAUCCGUUGGACAGCAUCCCCUCCAUUUAGACCUAUCUCUUAGAAAGUAAAUGAAGAACCCAGAAGAGAUAUGUUCACUUAAAGACUUCAUAGGAACGUCCUUCAUUGGGUUAGAAAGUGAUUCAAUUCCAAGAUUUCUCAAUGUUUUGUCAAAGCCCUCAAAUUUGGUUUCAACCGUUUUAUCUCAAUCUCACAAUCGUCGGUGCAAGACCUUGAGAAUAUUGGUCUUUGUUUUCGUCUCCGACCGCGGAGUUCAACCGGCUUUCUGAUGAAUUUCCAGUCCCAUCCAGGCACGCCAUGCCUUGAAAUCACGACCAGGGUGUUGGUCUAUGUUAUCAUCGGUGAUCCCGAAGCUGGGAUCGUUGUUGGACAAGUUGAAUUGAACUCAGUGUGAUUGCAGAUGAGCAUUUGAGGUAGAGAUUUCGGGUUUUCCCCCGAAGGCAAGAACUAAAACCUAAACAGAUAAAUUAGGACAUGAAUUAUGGAUAAAAGACAUGCAAUAAACUGGUAGAAUCUAAAGCUAAUCUAAUAUGGACUACCAAAAUCAUGAACUAUCAAUUUUCCAUCUUUUCAAUUUCUAUAGAGCACCUUCGUGCAAAUGAGUCUUACAAACUUCCACUCGGUGCUAUCAAUUUUGUUAGAAUUAACAAUUCUGUUUUGUCGUUUAUUUAUACCUGUAUACGUAUAUCUGUGCUUUUAAAAAUAUGCGCGUUUGGGCACGAACACCCUCUUUUACAUAUGAGUUAUCCUUGAGCAGAUGCAUAGAAAUUGAAUUGCAGCUGAGGCAACUAUUUUGUCGCUGUCCCAGCCUCCCCCAACCAUGCCAGGCAUGUAAAUUCAUUAUUUGUAAGUUAAAGUAUGUUAUGCAUGUUAAACACAAGUUAUGAUUUUUUUGUUCCGUAAUUAGCUAUGUAUUUGCCUUAAUCUGCAUGUCUGUAGUGUAGAUAAUUUUAACCAACAUUAUAGAAUCCAUGUUCUAUUGAAAAUUUGAAUGUUCUGAGAUGGAAAAGAUAAUUUUUGGGAUACUUAGUUUCAUCAGGAAACAAUAAUGUUUAUCAUCACCAAGUGGUACAAAGAGUAUUUUAAAGUGUUUUUUAACCAAUCUAUUGUCGAGUUUUCUAGCGGGUUUCUUAUUUUAUUUUCCGUUGUUUUGCAAGAAACCAGUGCCUUUCCAUGCUCGAGACUUCCACAGGAAUGUCACCGCUCUUUUACAUAUUUCUACUUUGAUUUCCAAUACGAGGUUAAAGCCUUUGAUUUCCAACAAAUUUCAAUUAGGUAAUUUGAUUUCCCUCAAAAGAUAUAAAUUAUGUUUUUUCUUUAAUCAUUUUUUUUUUUAUAAUAUUCAACCCAUUUCAAUUUAAUACCAACUGAAUCCUAAUUUGUUCAAUUUUUUUUCAUUAGGCGAUUGAGUGUGGUUGUUUGCCGUUCUCUUUGAGAAAUACAAGCUAUGCUACAAUCCCAGUUAGUGUUUUAAGUUGUUAACUUACUAUUUAAACUUCAAUUUUCCAGCCACAUUAGGAAAAUUUGCUAGGCUUUUCAGUGUUCCUGAUGCUGUACAUCCAUUGACGACCAAGCAGGGCCACUCUGUUUAGGGCUUGAAGAUUUCUACGUUCACGUUUAUUUCGACUUCAGGUAUUUUGUUUCAUUGACGACGUAAAGUCAACUGCAACCACACAGUUUGGUUAUGAUUUGGUAAAAUAGGCUGAUUAUCUGCAUAUUUCAUGAGGAUAUCAAUAGGAACUAUCUACCAAAUUUUUGUGUGUAAAUAGUAUGUAUAUACACAUCAAAUAUUAUUUUUUGUAUGUAAAUAAAAUUACAUACA